UACGGAGGGUGCAAGCGUUGUUCGGAAUUACUGGGCGUAAAGGGCGCGUAGGCGGCCUGCUAAGUCGAACGUGAAAUCCCCGAGCUCAACUCGGGAACUGCGUCCGAUACUGACAGGCUUGAAUCCGGGAGAGGGAUGCGGAAUUCCAGGUGUAGCGGUGAAAUGCGUAGAUAUCUGGAGGAACACCGGUGGCGAAGGCGGCAUCCUGGACCAACACUGACACUGAGGAGCGAAAGCCAGGGGAGCAAACGGG
rnacentral:rRNA from 1 species